rnacentral:lncRNA from 1 species
UAUACUUACAUUUAACAUAAUAUUUUGAGUCUUCAUGUACUUCCUAUUCAAGGUUAUAAGCUACUCCACUCCUUCCGUGCCCGUAUUUAACUCUCUUACUGCUUUUUAAGGAGGCUGGGAGGACAGGGAUAGAAUUCACUCAGCUGCCUGAGUCAAAGAAUGUCUUGGCUCCUCUUGACGAUGUCUUUUUCCUGCCUGAAUGGAGAAGAUAAGAUAGAAUGGACUGCACUAUUGUCUGCUUUUUCAAUGCCAUUUGUCCUCGGGUCUUAAAGUUUCAUUUUAAUAGCAGAAGUGUUUUUUUCCUUUGUGGACCAAAAGUUUGAGAUGCAGAGAAGAACAGAUCUGGAAGUUUCACAUGCCUUAUGCUCUGCUUCCUUCAGGAGUUUUGGAAGGUGGGCAUUGGAAGAUAGAGAGUGAGAGAGCAUUGGGAAGAUGAGGAGGGAUCCCCUCACUGAGAGUCUGUUUACAUACAUGGUGGCUCAGACUGAGAUCUGCAUAGAGACAGGCGCGAAAUAGGACUGUGUUUUGGAAACUGUGGUAGGAAGGAGGCAAUGAGUCAGGGCUUACGAUCCCCAGAAAAAGAUAUUGCUCACUGGGGAGGCUUCGGGGCAAAG